GGAUGAAAAGGAACAGGGCUAACUGAAGCAGGGCUCCAGAAGCUGAGGAAAAGAAAAGGGGGAAAGGAAGACUAAAGGAAUAAGGAAGCUGAAUUCUAACUCAUUGAGAAGGAGGAAAAUUUUUAUUAAUUAAGUUUCUACUGAAUAUCAUACAUGGAGAUCAUAGAUAGACAGAUAUUCAUUCACCUAAACCGGCUCCUUCUCUACGGGUACUUCUGAAGAAUGUUAUUGUAACCUGUCUGACGGUGACAGGCCUACUGUUUAUCAUUGUUUUAUUACUGUAUAUAUUUGCUUCACUGUGUAUGAAGAGCCGGCCAAGGGAGCCUCCAGUAAACAACACAUAUAACAUUUACAUCACUGAGGAUAUGAAGAAAAAAUCUGCCUCCAUUAAGGACAUAUUCUCAGAAAAGCGAGAAGACACUGCUAGGAUGAGACCAGACACCCCAAAUCUCCGCUAUUUACAGUCUCCAGGGCAUCUUAGAGACAAUGACAGCAAAGGAAAAUUAUUCAUUCAGAAUUCUAACUUCAACAAUAGAGCAUUUUUUGCUGGGGAUUUUGGGAAGGGACAGAUAAUGCCACUGAAUGGAUUAAUAAUUCCAAGUUAUAGAAACUUAAGAAGACCCAGAGAAUUUAUUUCUUCUUCAGAAUUAAGUGACUCUGAUGCUAUCCAGAAUGUAUUCCUACCUGAAACAAAUUGCUAUCAAACGUGUGAUGUUCCAGAUCCUCAUUUGCAAACAGAAUAUAUGAAGAAAAACGAUCCUAAUAAUGCCGGUGGGUCUCAGCAAGAUCCGAACAAGCUGAGUUUACCAUCUGAGCUAAAUGAUCUAGCCAGGAAGUCUCAGUAUAAUGCUUCCCUCGACUCACUGUAUUAUGCUGAAGAGACUCAGUCUGACAUAUACCCCUCUUCAUAUACAACAGAGAACUCAGAACUGGUAGAAAAUUCGCAAGAAAAGCAGUUAACAUCACGAGGGAAUGUUAGCUCUCCUAGCUGGCCUUCCCACUCGGACUAGAACUGAACAGUCCAAGGGUUCAAAUUCUCAUUUGUCAAUGUACUGUAAGCUAGUCCUCUUUCCACCUGAAAUCAUGGUAGAGCCCCAUAGAAUUCUGGAAGUUAUACUUUACUUUUGUAAUCUAGCCCCAAAAUAAAAAUUAUUUUUCAUAUCGGGCA
ensembl:lncRNA